UGAAGCUGAACCCAUAGCCAACCGGUGAGACCUGACUGGACCUCUCCUCUCCUUUGAAAGAAAGCAGGCCUGGCUGACACCCAACACCCCAGAGGUACCAGCCCCCCACCACACACGGCUGUGAAUAAACCCCAUCUUGCUGCUCACGGCGGGGUGUGGCCUUGGUUAACCACAAACCGGUCUAAAGACUUCACUGACAGGCCAGCUGAAAGCCUUUGUUUGUCAUCCAGCCCCUGAGGCAUAUGAUUAGAAGAAUUACUUAAAAUGUUAAGAUGUUACAUUCCUAAAGCCCUGGCUGUGACCCAGAGAGACUCUCGCAAGGUGGCUGGCCCCAGCCACUUCACUCCUAGAUGAAACCCAAGUCACCUGGAAUCCUUGGGGUGACACGGCAUGGAGAAUGAACUCUAUGGCUUCAAGAUGCUCCGUUUUGCCCUGGCUGGAAAAGCUGUUGAGGAGGCUACAGCUUUGAGAAGUACGACCUCAUGGCCUACAGCUGGAAAGUGGCAGAGCCUGGACUGGUAGACAGCAGGUCUGUCUCCCUCAAGAGCCCAGAAGACAGUUAAACCUGAUACCAUCGCCCGGAUGCAGCAAGGCAUCUUUCCCUCCCGGUUCCUCCCACUCUGCCCCGGAACGGAUGCUCCCACACUUGAAGAUGGAAUUACAAGUGAACCAGAUUCACAAAGGGGACUCGCCGACAAUUUAUGUUAGGAGAGUAAUCAAUGUUCACAUCAUCUAUCUUACUACCCUUCUGACUGCACGAGUCAUUAUUGAGAUUUUAAGUUGUGCCCUAUUCAAUCUUUCUCUCCUUUGCUUCUGAAUCAUUUGAUUUUCUCACCCCGGAAAAUCUAACUUUUUAUGUCAACAAGAAAAAUCUCGAAACAAGGUGGUAAAACAAACACCCCAUUGACUCUCAGACUGUAAAAUAACUAACCUUCCCCCUCCCUCUUCCCACCCCCUAUUCUUCCGCCUCCCUGCUCUUUUUUUUUUUUUAGUGCAAAUGAAGCCGAGUUUCGGGCUCCCUCCCAGGCUGGAGAAUAAGUACACCCUUAGCUUGAGUGAAACAGAGAAGGUUGAAACUGAACGAUUGAAUAGAUUUGAAUUAAAACAAUUUUCUCUCAAACAAAAGCAUUUAAGAGAGUUCAGCAAAGGUUAGGCAUGCCGAGAAUGCUGUAUUUCCUGGUAUCUUCUGAUUAGCUUUUAAGAUAAUUAGUGGUGAUGGGAGUACAGCCUAAGCAACAAGGACAUUCCUGGAGAGAAGCAGGAAGGGGAGAGCUGAGAAUCCAGAGCAGUAACCCCACCGGCUGUGUUUGCAUCUGUAAAUUCUCCCUCUGGCUUCAGUGACAUCUGGGUGACCCUAGGGGCAAGACUUUGAUACGUGAGUUAGGUGGCUGUCGAGCUCCUGACGCUUUGCACACGUUACCCUUAACUGCAUCACACUCCUUUCCUGGGAGAGAAGUUUGCUGUCCUCGUUUGGGGAAGAGGGAAAUUGCUGUGCACACAGUUCUCCCAACGAUCCAAUGCGGCACCGCCUAGUAUUAUUCCCAUUUUGCAGACGAGGAAACUGAGGUGGAAGCAGAUUUAGUAAUUUUCCCUAUACCACUCAAUAAAUAUUAGAGUCAGAAUUACACCCAAAUCUGUCUGACUCCAGAGCCUGAGAGACCACAAGAGAGAACAUUUCCGCCUUAUCUCACUUUUUACAUCUACAUUUGCACAAUUGCAUUUGCACAAUUGCAUUUGCACAAUUGCAAGAGAACAGAAAGAGCAAAAACCAACCCAACAAAAGUCUCAUGUGUAUUCCCAAUAACCACUAGGCUUCUUUCUCACCAUCUGGCUGUCCAAGCAGGUUUUUUAUAUCCCUCUCAACCUUGCCCCAUCUUAAGAGAGAAAAAUUGGCAAUUGCUGAGUAUGGGCUAUGUCAGCACACAGACUGUCACUCAACCCCUCCCACACCUCCUCAGACAUCAUUAACCACUCUUCCCUGGUAAGGCUAAAGAGGGCCUCAGGAUCCUUCUCAACACAAUGCUUCAGACAACUACUGGCAUCAAUCAGAGCUGGCACCCUGGGUGAAACCUAUCUGCUCUUCCUUAUCUAAACACUUGGCUGGGUACUUUCCCAUGGUCCCUGUUAUAUGAGCAUUCAUUACCCAAGUUUCAGUUAUGAGGUUGCACAGAGAAAGCAAAAGUCAUCAUAACACAAAAAUAUUCACUAAAGGAACUCACCACUUUUCUGUUUCAUACCUCGUCAGCUAUCCCUUCCCUUCUUACACUAGUCAGUUCCCCUAAGGUAAGAAUGCUAUGUCAGGGCCCAGCCUGGUGGUGUAAUGGUUAAGUUCGUGUGCUACACUUUGUCAGCCUGGAGUUC